UACGUAGGUGACAAGCGUUGUCCGGAUUUACUGGGCGUAAAGAGCGCGCAGGCGGUCGAUCAAGUCGAGUGUGAAAGCCCCCGGCUCAACUGGGGAGGGUCAUUCGAUACUGAUCGACUCGAAGGCAGGAGAGGGUAGUGGAAUUCCCGGUGUAGUGGUGAAAUGCGUAGAUAUCGGGAGGAACACCAGUGGCGCAAGCGGCUGACUGGCCGAGACCUGACGCUGAGACGCGACGGCGUGGGGAGCAAACCGG
rnacentral:rRNA from 1 species